rnacentral:rRNA from 1 species
UCUGUAGGUGGUCAAAUAAGUCAACUGUUAAAUCUUGAGGCUCAACCUCAAAAUCGCAGUCGAAACUAUUCGACUAGAGUAUAGUAGGGGUAAAGGGAAUUUCCAGUGGAGCGGUGAAAUGCGUAGAGAUUGGAAAGAACACCGAUGGCGAAGGCACUUUACUGGGCUAUUACUAACACUGAGAGACGAAAGCUAGGGUAGCAAAUG